UCCGAGUUGACCCCGGCAGUCUCUCACGAGUCCCCGCCAUAACGCGCUGGCAACAUGAGACAAGGGUUGCGCUCGUUGCGGGACUUAACCCAACAUCUCACGACACGAGCUGACGACAGCCAUGCACCACCUGCACACAGGCCACAAGGGAAUACCUAUCUCUAGGCACGUCCUGUGCAUGUCAAACCCAGGUAAGGUGGGGAUGACGUGGGAGGAAUUCCA
rnacentral:misc_RNA from 1 species